rnacentral:sRNA from 1 species
UCCUCCCCCCAGUCCAGAUGGGAGCUGGCUCCUUCAGAAAGGGGGCUCAGAACAGGGUGUGGGGAGCUACCUCUCUCUGCCUCCCCCCACCACAUCUGUCUGCAGGGCUGGGAGCCCCCAUGAUUCAGUGGUCCUGAGCCUUCUGAAGUUAGGAUUCUGCCUGGUGGUGGGGAUCCUGACAUCAAGGAUGGGACACCUUGGAUGGAGGUUCCUGGGGCCUGGCCCCCAAGACUAUGAAGAGCCUUUGCUGAGGCCAUGAGGGGUUACCAUGGCGACCGAGGCAGCCAUCCCCGCCCAGCCCGCUUUGCUGACCAACAGCAUAUGGACGUGGGCCCUGCUGCCAGGGCCCCAUACCUGCUGGGCUCCAGGGAGGCCUUCUCCACCGAGCCCCGCUUCUGUGCCCCGAGAGCUGGCCUGGGACACAUUUCUCCUGAAGGGCCCCUGAGCCUGAGUGAGGGGCCGUCGGUAGGCCCU